rnacentral:rRNA from 1 species
UAAGGAAUAUUGGUCAAUGGACGCAAGUCUGAACCAGCAACGCCGCGUGAGGGAUGAAGUAUUUCGGUAUGUAAACCUCGAAAGAAUGGGAAGAAUAAAUGACGGUACCAUUUAUAAGCUCCGGCUAACUACGUGCCAGCAGCCGCGGUAAUACGUAGGGAGCAAGCGUUGUUCGGAUUUACUGGGCGUAAAGGGCGCGUAGGCGGCGCGGUAAGUCACUUGUGAAAUCUCUGAGCUUAACUCAGAACGGCCAAGUGAUACUGCUGUGCUAGAGUGCGGAAGAGGCAACCGGAAUUCUUGGUGUAGCGGUGAGAUGCGUAGAUAUCAAGAGGAACACCUGAGGCGAAGGCGGGUUGCUGGGCCGACACUGACGCUGAUGCGCGAAAGCCAGGGGAGCAAACG